UAAUUACUUUUUUUAUUUCAAAAGACUUGCUGCUUUUUGUUUUUUUUAGGUUGGAGUUCAACAACAAACUUGCUUUACCUAAUGGCAAGCCACAAAACUUGUUGUACUUGUUUGCAAGCCACAAAACUUGCUGUAUCUAUUUGCAGUCUUGUAACAUGGUACGGGGCGGAAGGGGGCGGCUUACACCCCCUUUCAUGAAGGCAAUUUAUACACCAUUGUAACGUGGUAUUUGGCGGAAGAGGGGCGGCUUACACCCCUUCAAAUAUCUAUAACUUGGUAUUAAAAGAUAGGUGUAAAAAAGGGCUAUAAUUUUCAAUUAGAUUUUAGGUCAAGGGCGCAUCCAGGGAUCCGGAGGGGGUGCUAAUUCACCACCUACAUCUCACAAAAAUACACUUUUUUUCAUAAAAAAGUGUUUUUCUUUUAAAAUUACAAAUAUUUAUAUACAAAAAAUUGUUAUUAUCUUAUUCCACAUCACUAGCGAAUAUUACAAGUCUAUAUCAAAGUCGGGUGUUGGAUUUUGAAUAAGGUUUAACACA